rnacentral:rRNA from 1 species
AUACGGAGGGAGCAAGCGUUAUUCGGAAUCACUGGGCGUAAAGCGCGCGCAGGCGGCUUGAUAAGUUGGAUGUGAAAGCCUACGGCUCAACCGUAGAACUGCAUCCAAAACUGUCAGGCUAGAGUGUGGGAGAGGAAGAUGGAAUUAGUUGUGUAGGGGUAAAAUCCGUAGAGAUAACUAGGAAUACCAAAAGCGAAGGCAAUCUUCUGGAACACUACUGACGCUGAGGCGCGAAGGCGUGGGGAGCAAACAGGAUUAGAAACCCCAGUAGUCC